UUUUUGUCUGAGCUUCGGAAUCGUUGAACAAGAUGAUUCAUACUUGGAUAGCUACAUCAGCACAAUUGGAGUUGAAUUUAUGUUAUGCCUGGUAGGCAAAUUUCAAACGCUGAGUCCAAAGUAUAAGAAAUGAUGAGCUGUCAAGGUUCUUAUUUCUUCACUUAUCUGACUUCUUGCAUUUGGCUUAACACCUAAACAUGUCUUAUCUCAUCUACGUGUAGAUUACAUUUUGUUUGUGCUUAAUGGAAUGUUGAAAAAUGCUCAAGUGCAUGGUAAGUUCUUAUGAAUUUACUCUUUAACAGUCAGGUCAUUUGCAACCAUUUAUUUAAACGUUUGAUUGUGUAUUUAUUUAAACGUUACAAUUAGUGAUAUACAUGUAAACGUUACAUUUUGUUUGGGCUGGAUUAGUUACAGACAGAGAAGGGGGGAAGGUGUGGAAUGUCAGGGAGAGGACGGGAGAUGGAGGUCUACAUCUCAGAACCCAGCUCGAGUCCUCAGUUUCAGCAGCAGCGGCCACCACUCUUCCCCAAAGAAACAUGGACUUGCUUCGUUCUCUCUGCAGCGCUGCCCAUUUUCCACCAAAAUCACAUCUUAAACUCUUCCAAUUUCGAACACGAGAUGCCCGGAGAAGGAUUUGCGUCUAUUUUGAAGGCAUCUUCGCUUCUGUGAAGCUGAGGAGCAGAUUCGUGAGAUUGAGUCCAAACGUCUCUAGAAGGAGAUGUAUCUACCUAAUGAAUUGCUUAAACAUGAUUUGGAUGGUGAACCUUCUGUUGAUAUACCAAACUGCCAAGUUUUAGUAUUUGUUGAUAUAAGAGAUGAAAAGCUUGGAGGACGACUCUAUAACGAAUUUUGGUACCGUCUUAAUAAAAAACAGGUCUUUUUGCUGUGCUGGAAGAGGACUUUGAUUCUAAGAGACCAAUAAAGAUAGAGGAUCCUGAGGGCGUGCUAAAGGAGGUUUAUGGUACUCUACGUAAGAGUGAAAAAUAUGAGUUUGCUGAUGAUAUUCAUAAGAGGAUGAGAAUUAUAAUUGUUGGUGGGGAUGAUGUGGUUAACUGAGUUCUUGGAGUUAUUUGUGAUCUGAAUUUACCAGAGUCACCCUCCAUUGUGCCGAUGUCACAUGGGACUGAAAAUAACAUCCCACUUUCGUUUGGAUGGGUAGGACAUCUUUUAGCUUAUGAAAGCAUCUUUGAAGGGAUCAAUUAUUUUUCUUCUUUUGUUGUUGAUUGAGGUGGGUUAUAGGAAUAAGGUGACGUUUUAGAGUUGAAAUUGUUAGUGUUUUUCGUGAUGCUCUUUCCUUUUCUUCUCAGUGAAAAAACAUACUAAAGUAACAACGCAAUGGUGGUGGGAAUAAGCGUUCUCAGGUAUCUAUGGAUGUGUGAUAUGAAUUAGGUGGAUGAUGUUGAAACAUCAGUCAAUAAAAAACAAAUAGGAUCUCAGAUAUUAUUCAUUAAUCCAUACAUUAGUGCUUGAAAGAUUAGUUGUUGAAACAAGAACAACACAUGUUUAUGGCUUUGUUGUUUAGUUGUUAAAACACGUGACUGGCCUGCAGGACAUAUAUUUUGCCAUCUUAACUUGAAGGGCAAUAUAAAUGUUAAAUGCAUGUUGCUUAUGUUUCUUAGGAAACAGAGCAUUAUUUGCAACUGUAUCUUUUGUAAUCAGCUCGGUUGAAUGUAUAUAAAAACCGAACUGCUUAUCU